rnacentral:ncRNA from 1 species
ACUAUCUUGUGCCUCGUCGGUUCCAGCGGGGCGUGCCUCGUUGGAUUGAAAGGGAAGCCGGUGACGCCGUUAAGGCCAUUCCGGCACUGCCCCGCAGCGGUAAUUGGGAACGACCCCGCCACACAGCACUGAGGCAAGCGGCCUUGGGAAGCGGCGGAGUAGGAAGAAGGCCACGGCCUUCGCGCCCAUGAGUCCGAAGACCUGCCGACAGCCACGCGAUGCA